ACGCUCGACACCUACGGGAGGAGCAGUGGGGAAUAUUGCACAAUGGGGGAAACCCUGAUGCAGCGACGCCGCGUGAGUGAAGAAGUAUUUUGGUAUGUAAAGCUCUAUCAGCAGGGAAGAAGAUGACGGUACCCGAGUAAGAAGCCCCCGGNUAACUACGUACCAGCAGCCGCGGUAAUCUGAGCGGGCUGGCAAGGC
rnacentral:rRNA from 1 species